rnacentral:ncRNA from 2 species
ACAAUACAAUGUCUCCGAGCCAAAGGGCCUGCCUCCUAACGGGAAAUGGUCCACGGCCGCCAGGGUUUGGCUGGAAACGGCCAGGCCUCCCUUGUUUGGAAAGGAGAAUAAAUGAUAAAACA